rnacentral:Y_RNA from 1 species
GGCUGGUCCAAGUGCAAUGGAGCUUAUAAUUAAUUGAUCACUGACAGUUACAGAUUUGUUUCUUCUCCAUUCCCACUGCUUCACUUGACUUUAA